UUUGUAGUGUCGCUGUCCUGUGAGAACCCCGUAUCUCUAAAAGGUUUUAAAACUUUUCAUGGUGUCAGAUAAAAAAAAGAAGAGCCCA